CGCUAGAAGAAGUAACUUUUAGUAAUACCUGCCCAGUGCGAAAUAUUAAUGUAAACGGCCGCCCUAGCGUGAGGGUGCUAAGGUAGCGAAAUUCCUUGCCUUUUGAUUGUAGGCCUGCAUGAAUGGUUUAACGAGGGUUUAGCUGUCUCUAAAUUUUUAAUUGAAAUUGUAUUGAAGGUGAAGAUACCUUCAUUUAAAAGUUAGACAAAAAGACCCCGUGCAACUUUGAAAAUUAACUUUAUUCAGGGGUAAAAGAUUUUUAGGUGGGGCGCCUAGAAAGUAAGCCUAACCUUUCUGAGUAGGAGUUUCUUUCAGGAGUUGACCCGAUUAUAUUCGAUCAUAGGAGAAGUUACGCCGGGGAUAACAGGCUAAUCCUUUAGUAGAGCUCGUAUUGGCUAAAGGGAUUGGCACCUCGAUGUUGAAUCAGGGAUGAUAGCUUCAAGGCGUAGAGGCUUUGAGAGUAGGUCUGUUCGACCUU
rnacentral:rRNA from 1 species